UACGGAGGGUGCAAGCGUUAUCCGGAUUCACUGGGUUUAAAGGGUGCGUAGGUGGGCAGGUAAGUCAGUGGUGAAAUCUCCGGGCUUAACCCGGAACGGUCAGCCGAUACUGCAGGGCUAGAGUGCAGAAGGGGCAACUGGAAUUCUCGGUGUAGCGGUGAAAUGCGGUAGAGUAUCGAGAGGAACACCUGCGGCGAAAGGCGGGUUGCGUGGGCUG
rnacentral:rRNA from 1 species